ensembl:lncRNA
GUACUAUACUACAGUAAUGGAGUUGGUAAUCGGAAGGUAACUGGCUCGAUUAUCACAGAUAUUGUGCCCUUGAGCAAAGCCCUUAACCCUGGAGCUGCUGCCGGAGAUGGUCCCUGUAAUGCGCAAUUUAAAGGGGUCAUUUGAUGCAAUUUCCAAUUUUCCUUUCUCUUUGGAGUGUUACAAGCUGUUGGUGUAUAGAUAAGAUCCCUAAAGUUGCAAAGACUAAAGUCUCAAACCCAAAGAGUUAUUCUUUAUAAAAGUUAAGACUCGUCCACGCACUCCUAAAAUGCCUCGUUUAAACACGCCCCCACAUGUCUACGUCACGAUGUCACACGCCACCCAAACGUACACUCAAAGAAAGAAGGCGUAACUUUGAUUCUCACUAUAGUAUUGUUGCCACCAUCGCCAUGAUGUGAAGACAAUGUGUGUUUCGUUGUGAAAGCGAAACUACUUUGUUUGAAAGUGAAAGAAAGUGAAAGUGACGUGACAUACAGCCAAGUAUGGUGACCCAUACUCAGAAUUCGUGCUCUGCAUUUAACCCAUCCAAAGUACACACACACAGCAGUGAACACACACACAUACCGUGAACACACACCCAGAGCAGUGGGCAGCCAUUUAUGCUGCGGCGCCCGGGAAGCAGUUAGGGGUUUCAGUGCCUUGUUCGAAAGCGCCUCAGUCAUGGUAUUGCAGGCCCGAGACUCGAACCCACAACCUUAGGGUUAGGAGUCAAACUUUCUAACCACUAGGCCACGACUUCCCCUAACCUGGCCUUCCAAAAGCACUGUUACAGAACAGUUCAACCCAAAUAUUCAGAUGUGUGCAGUGCAUUUUACGGAAGACUGUUUCCUUGGAGACUAGCCUACAAUGCGUCUGUGCACAAAGGCUGUUUCUAUAAAGUGGGGCAAUUCCAACUUUGCAAGGACAGUCUGGCGCUUCUAACUCAAAGCCUGUAAGUACAUUUUUAUAUUUAAAGAAUUUGCCACUGAUGAUUCAAACGUGAGAUUUGAGCAGUGUAGAGUAGCAGUUGUUGUUUGUCGUUUCUCUGAUCACAAAUGCAGACAUGGUUUUAUGUUUACGCGUGCGAGACGCAAUGCAUAAAGUCACUAUAAUCAGUAAUUAUGUCCCCAAUGAAUGUUUUAUUGGUUUUGUCUUUUCACACCGGCAGACAGCAUCACACGCUUGAGGUAUUCAGCAAAUCACAACACACUGGAUAGCUGGCCAGUCAGAGCACACCUCGAUUUUCAGAACAAUGAGCUUUGUAAAAAUUGACACGUUUCAGAAAGGCGGGGCAUAAAGGAGCAACAAUAAUGUAUAUUAUUAAAAUAAUGUGUUUUUUAACCUUAAACCGCACAAACACAUUGCAUUACACCAAAUACAAAACAAAAAAAAUAAUUCUUUUUAGCAACAUCUUAUGACCCCUUUAACUAGCUUUGGCUAAAAUUGCCUUCUAAAUUGCUACUUGCUUACUAAUGUCACAGGCAGCCAUCUGGGGCAACAUUUAGAAAAUGACUACUUGCUUUCUUACUUACUGUAAGAACAUUCCAUCUUGGGUAAAAUGGGGGAAAUGAUUUGCACAUUGUGUGUUAUGAUUGUAGGAUGUACUACCUUAUAACUACUAGUCAAGGGUAGUUUUCUGAUUACACUUCUGUUCUUAAUUGAUUUAAAUACUUGUUAUGGCUCUCUUUAACAGUUCUACAGAAUCAUCCUUUUUCUCUCAUGCAUUUUUAAACAUGCAAGUGUUGUACUUUGUUCAUGACAUCAGUUUAUGUCAGUUUCUGUUCUGAAUUUGUAAAAGAUCUUACAAAUUCCUUCCUAAAUUCCAAAACAUCUGAUUUGAUCUUUAAUUACCUCAGCAACAGCACCAAUUAUGUGGUGCCAUAGAAACAUAAGCCAGGGUUUUAUUGCAUUCAUUUAUUCUGUGGGUGUUUUGUCACAGUAUGAUAAUAAGAACUAAUCAGCUAUUAACAUAUUAUAAUAAAGAAAACAAAACUGCUAUUACCUUAAUAGUUUCUAUAAUUUCAAAAUGUUGCAUUUUUCAGAGCACAAAAUAAAAUAAUAUACAUAAGUAGAACAUGUUUUACAUAGCUUGGAGCAACACAUUGUAGCACAAACGCUUAUAUCCAAAUAGACACUUAACCAGAUAUCAAGGCUAGCCAUAAUUUCAAGGGGAUUUACUGUGAUGUUAAAAAACUAAAGGGAAGUUUAGGAAGAUGUAGAAUGACCUCAUCCAAACCAUGGUAUAUUCACACAUAUCAAAUUAUAAAGAAAAAGAUGGCAUGAUAAGGAAAACAUUAAAAUUUGACAGGAUGAAGAUGGCAUGAUAAGGAAAACAUUCAAAUUUGGUUGGAUGAAUUUAAACAGCCACCAUUGUGUGUAAAAAGAUUAUUAUAUACUGUAUAUACUAAAUGUGAUGCUUUUUUAUGUCAUUGUGACAGAUGCAGUGCUCUGGGAAAAGUUUGUAAUAAAACAGCGUUCACAUAAUCAGUGAACCAUCACUCAAUCUAAAAAUACACCAAAAGCACACUUUGUCCGAAUGAGAUUUGUCAAGCCUGUCAAGUUGUGGCAUUGUAUCUAGAAGAAGCCAGACAUCAUGCCAUUUGUUUGGCUAACAGAGGUAACACAGAGGUGACUUCUGCUGUAUUGCAUCAUCCUUAUAGGAUACUGUUGCCCAGUCAGUGGGUAUUUUGCUUUGAACUACUGCAAAAAGAGGAUUUUACAUAUACCAUUGAAUAGAAGAACCAAAUUUUUUGUUGCACAGUUAUUUUUGAUGUGUUAAAUCCCUCUAUGUUGUUAUUUGAUCUUGUGUGACGUCUGUGCGUGUGUGGGAUGGUGUUUGCCCACGGCACGCUGUGUGUGAGAUAUAAACAUCUUUCUGGAUUUUCACAGUUCUGCGAGAAUUAAUUUCACAAUUUGAUUUUCCAGUUGCAGUGGGAAUAAUUAGCAGCUUUAAGUGUUUUGCGAUUUCUAUAGAUGUGAAGCUGUUAUUGGUCUUAAAUGAAAUUAUAAAGGUGGCGCUCAUAUAUGAGGUGACACUAAAAAUGUCAAUCUUGUGCCUGUUUCCUCUGUGCCUGUCAAUUCAAUGUUAUAUAUGUCUUUCAAAGAUGAUAAAUUAAUAUGAAAAUGUCACGGUUUUAACUUCUAUGUUUUUUUUUUUUUUGUUUGUUUUUUUUGUCAUACAUUAUAUAUUUUGAUUUGUGCCCUAUUGGUAAUUUAUCAGCAAUUCUUCUUUCGGAGGAUUUUCAAAAACAGCUGAAAAAAUCUCACAUAGCAUUGUUUGCAUGUAUUAAUUAAAAAGACAAGCAAGUAUAGGAUGUGUAGCAACAAAGUCCAAAUGUUUAAACCAGCUGCAUCAGAGUUUGAUCAUUGUUUGAAUCUUUAUGACAAAAAGGCUGUAUUUUCUGUGUGGUUGUAAUUUAAAUAAAUUAUUAAAAGCUUUUAUAUGUUGUGUCAGGUGGUCUUGGAGAUGUUUCUAUAACAUGAGCUGCACACAUGAAAUGUCUUGUCAUGAGAAAUACAUUUGUUUCACUGCUGGCAGCAGAAUGCAGUGUGAAUAUUGGUACCAAUGUUUGGAUUCAGAUUGGUCAAGUUUAUCUUGUAAGUGUUUGCAUGUGUGCAGGAGAAUAUACUGUGUAUGACAUUACUGAAUAGGGAGUGGGAACAAUAGCUUUUUCAAUAUGAAAAGCAGACAGCAGUAGAU